AAUUGGCAUAUAUAAGCAGCAGGAUCAAUUUUAAUAUCUACAUGUACAUACCAGAUUACAAGUAAAUGUACUUAUAUUCCUUGUUAAAGAUAGAAUUGUAAACUAGGAUUUAAGUUCACAUUGAAAGAUCGAACUUGUAAUGAAUAGAAAAACGAUCCAUACACCUUGUUAGAACUCUAACUUAGCACCUUGAUCAACUAAUGGCAUUUAGAUGUGAUAGAAAAUUAAGGCAUUUGCAUGUGACAUUAAAAAAAGUAAAGAUUCAGAUAUGAAAGGUAUAUGACAUGAGAGUGCAAAGACUUAAAGAAUAUAUUAAAGAAGAGAAGUUACAUAUUUACAGUGGCAUUUCAUCAUUUCAUAGUACAUGUAUCAAAGAUAUAUGUACAUGUAGAUGAUAUAAUAACAUUUCAGUCCCUUAGAUUUAGAAUAGAAUGUGAAGUGUACAUGUUUUGUUUGAAAAAAAUAGCCGUCUCAUCUUGUGUCUAUUGAUUUGGCAUGUACAAUUAUGAUAUUAUGAUAUAUGAGUAACAGAACCCAUUUCUUAAAAAACUAUAGAUGUACAGAUAACUGGAUGUAAUCUUGUUUAUUAGGAGAGAUGUAUGCAAUUAUUAGAGUGUCAAAAGCUUCUUAGCUUACAUGUAUUAUCUGCAGAACUGAAAGAUUAACAGCCAAGGUGCAUUUGUUUUUUGUUGUGGUUUUUUGAAUCCCAUAUUUAUACCUGUUUUAUUCUAAAUAAAUGAGAAUUAUUUG
rnacentral:misc_RNA from 1 species